GCGUUGGUGGUUCAGUGGCAGAAUUCUCGCCUGCCAUGCGGGAGACCGGGGUUCGAUUCCCCGCCAACGCA
rnacentral:tRNA from 1 species